GACGAACGCUGGCGGCGUGCUUAACACAUGCAAGUCGAACGGAAAGGCCUGCUUUCCCUUGUGGAUUGCGGGUACUCGAGUGGCGAACGGGUGAGUAACACGUGAGUGAUCUGCCCCCAACUUGGGUAUAAGCCUGGGAAACUGGGUCUAAUUCCCGAUAGGACUGCAGGGUGGUGCCUGUGGUGGAAAACGAUUUUCUAGUGGUUGGGGAUGAGCUCGCGGCCUAUCAGCUUGUUGGUGGGGUAAUGGCCUACCAAGGCGGCGACGGGUAGCCGGCCUGGGAGAGUGGACGGCCAGAUUGGGACUGCGAUACGGCCCAGACUCCUACGGGAGGCAGCAGUGGGGAAGAUGGCACAAUGGGCGGAAGCCUGAUGCAGCGACGCCGCGUGGGGGAUGACGGCCUUCGGGUUGUAAACUCCUUUCGACCGCGAGGAAGCCACCUGGUUGGAAGGGUGGUGACGGUAGUGGUAGAAGAAGCACCGGCUAACUACGUG
rnacentral:rRNA from 1 species